UGAGCUUCAAGUUUAUCCCCGCUAUGGUUC
rnacentral:piRNA from 1 species